GGAGCAGCCGCCGAACGGGACGGCACCCGGUCUGUAAAACCGGUGACCUUUAGGGUCGAGCAGGUUCGAUUCCUGCCUGCUCCA
rnacentral:tRNA from 1 species